UUGUUUCAGGUUCCACCGAUAAUUGUUGCAAUAAUUUAGUUCCACAUUCCUUUACAACACCCGAGGCUGGUGCCAUUGGUUUGCUGCGCUGGUACUGGGCCCUGGGCAGGGUGCCUGGGCUGCUCCAAGGCUCUCCUGGGUCGCAGGAGUGUCCACCAGCACCUUAAGGGUGUGCUUCGGGGCAAUUGUUCUGUUUUCCAUAACAUUGAAAUUGACGGGGGAUCAUCUUGCUUUUGAGCAGGUGCCUUUACCCCUCUGAAUUUGGACAGCAUCAUCCAUGUAUCCCAGAAAUAUUCUCAUGUCACUGUAUCUACCAAUGAGUUACAGUCUUUAAAGUUGCUUUUAGCUUUUAAAAUAGCUAAAGCUUUUUGAGAAGUUUGGCUUGCUUUCAUCAUCCUGCCUCCAGAGAUUCCUUCUGUGGGAAAGAGAAAAGGUUCUCUUCUGUCUGAAAGUGUCAUUGAGGGUCACUUCUCUAUUUAUUCCUGGUCUGUAGGAGGUCCCAGUUAAACAUUCUUACUGGCACAAAAUGAAAUGCAUCCAUCUGAAGUGACUGGGAGGCUGAUGAGCCCAUUAGUUUUAGAGUCCAACCAAAAUAUGUUUGAUUUUUUGUUGAUUGUCUUCAAGUUGCAAUAAGGAUUCCAAUUUGUGUUACUUUAAUAAGUUGAUUUAAUGGAUAUAGAGACAGACAUCUCAUGACCCAGGGGCAGGCCUUGAGGAUUUUGGAGCUGCUUAUUUGCUACGCUAGCAUCAUUAUCCUUUGAUUAAUAAGAGGUGGGCUUGUCUUGGACAGCAGGCUGCUUGGUGCAAGCAUGCAGGAAUCUCAGUAUGGGUUUCCAGGACUGUAGCCAAAGGCUAUGCCCCUCUUGCCUGAAGGGAUCUCACCCUCCCACACAUUUGUGCAUCCCUUCUGCCCAAUGUGCCCUCUGGAGCCCUUGCAGCCCAGCAUCGAGUCCUGUUUGACAGGAGGGUCACUGCCAGCCCAGGCUGGGCCAGGCUGUGCUGCUGCUCUCACACAGUGCAGAGCCACGCUAGUGUUUCACCUGAGUGUCAGAGUGCAGAGUGGCCAGGUAGUAUUGCUCCUGCCUCACAGGGAAUAUUGCCUUUUGUAAUAGCUGCACAGACCAGGUGAUCAGUGGGGUGAGGGCUGUUUUGGUGUGUGGAUUGUGUUAGCCAUACAGGGAAUACAGACAUCUGCUUUGGAUGAUUUAAAUUGGAAAUACCUGCAUGGAAGUCUGGGAUCUUCUUAGCAUAAAUGGUUGGAUCAGACUAGAGGAUUUCACACCUGCUUGGUAAUUCAGCUUCUAGUCAUGUUAUUUGUGAACUAACUCUAGUAAUAUAUUUAGAAAGUGAAGUCUAAAUUGGGUUGCUAUUAUUUAAUGUUUCAAAGCUACCGGGUAGCUUGUAUAAUGUGCAGAUUCAGCAGUCACCAGUUGUGUUUCUGAAAAUAAUGAAUCUUAAAUUUUAUUUUCACUCUUAGGUGCCUCAUUUGGUUGUGUGCUAUGUUAUACAAUUGUUACAAUACUGUUUGUGUAGGCACUACUGCAGCAGCACCUUUAAAACUGCUGGAUUUAAGAAAAGGAGGGUAUGCUCUGUAUGUUAAAGAUUGUAAGAGCAGAGAUCUCCAGGGCUGUUGGGUUUUCUUUUUUCUUUUUUUUUUUUUUUUUGCUAUAAGAAUUAAGUGGAAUUUGAGACAUUUCUGAAGCAAAAUAUUUCUAUAUGUAUAAAAAUAUCCUUGUUAAAAUUGAUAGAUGUAGUAGGUCAUUUUAACAUCAGUGCCUAGACUCACACAGGAAAUGGACUGCCUGUAAGCUAUAGCCAUAUAAUAAAUAGUUGUGAAAUCAUUA